CCUUAUCCUCCAAAUGUUCCAAAUUGCCAUGUCUUCUAAAUUUUCAUGCCCCAAAAAUUAAGGAAAAAGAAAAAAGAGAGAGAGAGAGAGAGAGAAAAAAAGACAUGGCAACAAAUUUUCUCUCAACAGCAAACCCCUUUCAUCUAGCAUCUUCAUCACAAUCCUCAGUACCCUCUAACUCUUUGCCUAUCAAAUUCAAUGUGAAAAGACAAUUAACUCUUUGCAAAGUUGUUAAUCAACAAGCAUUGAAUUCUUUAAGUGUGACCAAAAGAGGCAUAUCAAUAAGUUUUGUGACCAGUUUGGUUCUUUCAUUGGGUGGUAAAGGUUGGUUUGAUGCUAAUGCUGCAAUACUUGAAGCAGAUGAUGAUGUGGAGUUAUUGGAAAAAGUGAAGAAAGAUAGAAAGAAGAGACUUGAGAAACAAGGUGUCAUCAGUUCAUCCACCAAAGAAAAAGGGUAUCUUCAAGACUUGGUGUACAAAUUGAGUGAAGUUGGUCAAGCAAUUGAGAAAAAUGAUCUAACUUCAGUUGGUUCUGUCUUAGGGAGAGGCAUUGAUACUGAUUGGGUCCAAAAAGCUAAUAUAGCUUUGAAUAAGGUGGCAAAUUCAAAUCCAAAACUCGUGCCCCAGAUACAAUUGGCGUCGAAACACACUCUUUAAUUUCCAUUUUGUUGAGUUCUAGUCCUGAAGAGAAGUCUGAGGUGGAAAUGUUCAAUUCUUCACUUGCUUCAUUGGUUUCAUCAGUUGCUCAGAAUGAUGUGGAAUCAUCCAAAACUGCAUUUGUAUCUUCAGCCACUGCAUUUGAGAAAUGGACCUCCUUGACAGGGCUGGUUGGUCAACUUAAAGGGCUUUGAACUUUGAGUGAAGAAGCUACAAGAAAUUUUAUUUCAUCUUAGAUAUAUAGAGAAUUCCAUUAAUUUUCUCUUCUGGGUCACCAAAUUGGUGUCUUGGAAAGACCAACAAGCUCAUCUUUAACGGCUCAUGAAGUUUGUAUUGUCUUCCCCAAAAUUGUAAUUUAAAUUAAAAUGUCACUAUUGUUGUUCACUGAACAGUGCAAAUGAAAGGACUUUCAGGCUGCUGAAGGAUAAUUAACUGCAACUAUGGCCAUUAAAAGGGUCACGGCAAAGGCAAUAGCUAUAUUGAAGGCUAAUCUUUAAAAUUA